rnacentral:rRNA from 1 species
UACGUAGGGCGCAAGCGUUGUCCGGAAUUAUUGGGCGUAAAGAGCUCGUAGGCGGCCUGUCACGUCUGCUGUGAAAUCCCGGGGCUUAACCCCGGGCGUGCAGUGGAUACGGGCUGGCUGGAGGCAGGCAGGGGAGAACGGAAUUCCCGGUGUAGCGGUGAAAUGCGCAGAUAUCGGGAGGAACACCGGUGGCGAAGGCGGUUCUCUGGGCCUGUACUGACGCUGAGGAGCGAAAGCGUGGGGAGCGAACAGGAUUAGAAACCCGGGUAGUCC